AGCGGCGGAUGGGUGAGUAACACGUGGGGAACCUGCCCCUAAGUCUGGGAUACCAUUUGGAAACAGGUGCUAAUACCGGAUAAUAAAGCAGAUCGCAUGAUCAGCUUUUGAAAGGCGGCGUAAGCUGUCGCUAAGGGAUGGCCCCGCGGUGCAUUAGCUAGUUGGUAAGGUAACGGCUUACCAAGGCGACGAUGCAUAGCCGAGUUGAGAGACUGAUCGGCCACAUUGGGACUGAGACACGGCCCAAACUCCUACGGGAGGCAGCAGUAGGGAAUCUUCCACAAUGGACGCAAGUCUGAUGGAGCAACGCCGCGUGAGUGAAGAAGGUUUUCGGAUCGUAAAGCUCUGUUGUUGGUGAAGAAGGAUAGAGGUAGUAACUGGCCUUUAUUUGACGGUAAUCAACCAGAAAGUCACGGCUAACUACGUGCCAGCAGCCGCGGUAAUACGUAGGUGGCAAGCGUUGUCCGGAUUUAUUGGGCGUAAAGCGAGCGCAGGCGGAAAAAUAAGUCUAAUGUGAAAGCCCUCGGCUUAACCGAGGAACUGCAUCGGAAACUGUUUUUCUUGAGUGCAGAGGAGGAGAGUGGAACUCCAUGUGUAGCGGUGGAAUGCGUAGAUAUAUGGAAGAACACCAGUGGCGAAGGCGGCUCUCUGGUCUGCAACUGACGCUGAGGCUCGAAAGCAUGGGUAGCGAACAGGAUUAGAUACCCUGGUAGUCCAUGCCGUAAACGAUGAGUGCUAAGUGU
rnacentral:rRNA from 1 species